CCUACGGGGGGCAGCAGUGAGGAAUAUUGGUCAAUGGACGAGAGUCUGAACCAGCCAAGUAGCGUGAAGGAUGAAUGCCCUAUGGGUUGUAAACUUCUUUUAUAUGGGAAUAAAACGUUCCACUUGUGGAUUUUUGUAUGUACCAUAUGAAUAAGGACCGGCUAACUCCGUGCCAGCAGCCGCGGUAAUACGGAGGAGCCGAGCGUUAUCCGGAUUUAUUGGGUUUAAAGGGAGCGUAGGUGGGUGGUUAAGUCAGUUGUGAAAGUUUGCGGCUCAACUGGAAAAUUGCAGUUGAAACUGGCAGGCUUGAGUACAGGAGAGGUAGGCGGAAUUCGUGGUGUAGCGGUGAAAUGCUUAGAUAUCACGAAGAACUCCGAUUGCGAAGGCAGUUCACUGGACUGCAACUGACACUGAGGCUCGAAAGUGUGGGUAUCAAACAGGAUUAGAUACCCUAGUAGUC
rnacentral:rRNA from 1 species